UAAACAACCUGACCAACGCAUGAUGUUC
rnacentral:sRNA from 1 species